rnacentral:lncRNA from 1 species
UUGUGGAAAUAUCGUGGAUUAACGCUAGUAUACAAUCACGAAAAAAGAAAAUAGUGAAGAAAAAUAACUCAAGGAUUUAAUGAGGUUUGACUAGGCCUAAUCUUCCAAGUAAAAGCAGAGAGAGUUUUCCACUAUGAAAAAAAAGAAGAAAAAGCUUACAAUACAUUAGAAAUUUAGAAUCCCCAACUACAUACCCUAUAUACAGAUACCAAGUAGUCCCAAACUUAUAAGAAAAAUGUUCUCCCAAUCCUAAAAGGACAAUAGAUUCAUUUUCCAAAUCUAUUAGGACAAAAGAUCUUCUAAACAAAUAGGGAUUAUGAGUUUCCUCAAAUAUACAAG